rnacentral:tRNA from 1 species
GGAGAGGUGGAUGAGUGGUUUAAGUCGCACGCCUGGAAAGCGUGUGUAGGUGAAUAGCCUACCGGGGGUUCGAAUCCCCCUCUCUCCGCCA